rnacentral:rRNA from 1 species
UGGGGAAUUUUGGACAAUGGGCGAAAGCCUGAUCCAGCAAUGCCGCGUGUGUGAAGAAGCCUUCGGGUUGUAAAGCACUUUUGUCCGGAAAGAAAUCCUUGGCUCUAAUACAGUCGGGGGAUGACGGUACCGGAAGAAUAAGCACCGGCUAACUACGUGCCAGCAGCCGCGGUAAUACGUAGGGUGCAGGCGUUAAUCGGAAUUACUGGGCGUAAAGCGUGCGCAGGCGGUUUGCUAAGACCGAUGUGAAAUCCCCGGGCUCAACCUGGGAACUGCAUUGGUGACUGGCAGGCUAGAGUAUGGCAGAGGGGGGUAGAAUUCCACGUGUAGCAGUGAAAUGCGUAGAGAUGUGGAGGAAUACCGAUGGCGAAGGCAGCCCCCUGGGCCAAUACUGACGCUCAUGCACGAAAGCGUGGGGAGCAAACAGGAUUAGAUACCCUGGUAGUCCACGCCCUAAACGAUGUCAACUAGUUGUUGGGGAUUCAUUUCCUUAGUAACGUAGCUAACGCGUGAAGUUGACCGCCUGGGGAGUACGGUCGCAAGAUUAAAACUUAAAUGAAUUGAC